rnacentral:rRNA from 1 species
UCAGAACGUACGCUGGCGGCACGCCUAACACAUGCAAGUCGAACGCAGUAGCAAUACUGAGUGGCAGACGGGUGAGUAACAUGUGGGAAUCUGCCUUGUGGUUCAGGACAACAUUGGGAAACCGAUGCUAAUACUGGAUAAGCCCUUACGGGGAAAGUUUUAAUGCCAUAAGAUGAGCCCGCAUUUGAUUAGUUAGUUGGUGAGGUAAUGGCUCACCAAGACAAUGAUCAAUAGCUGAUCUGAGAGGAUGAUCAGCCACACUGGGACUGAGACACGGCCCAGACUCCUACGGGAGGCAGCAGUGGGGAAUCUUGCACAAUGGAGGAAACUCUGAUGCAGCGAUGCCGCGUGAGUGAAGAAGGCCUUUGGGUUGUAAAGCUCUUUUGUAGGGGAAGAUAAUGACUGUACCCUAAGAAUAAGGUCCGGCUAACUUCGUGCCAGCAGCCGCGGUAAUACGAAGGGACCUAGCGUAGUUCGGAAUUACUGGGCGUAAAGCGCGCGUAGGCCGUUGAGUUAGUGAAUUGUGAAAUCCCAAAGCUUAACUUUGGAACUGCAAUUAAAACUGCUCGACUAGAGUUUGAUAGAGGAAAGCGGAAUACAUAGUGUAGAGGCGAAAUUCGUAGAUAUUAUGUAGAACACCAGUUGCGAAGGCGGCUUUCUGGAUCAACACUGACGCUGANGCGCGAAAGUAUGGGUAGCAAAGAGGAUUAGAUACCCUCGUAGUCCAUACCAUAAACGAUGAUUGCUAGAUGUUGGAAAUCUAUUUUNNGUAUCGCAGCUAACGCAUUAANCAAUCCNCCUGGGGAGUACGACCG